GUUGGGUAGGGGAGCGUUCUGUAAGCCUGCGAAGGUGUACUGUGAGGUAUGCUGGAGGUAUCAGAAGUGCGAAUGCUGACAUAAGUAACGAUAAUGCGGGUGAAAAACCCGCACGCCGGAAGACCAAGGGUUCCUGUCCAACGUUAAUCGGGGCAGGGUGAGUCGACCCCUAAGGCGAGGCUGAAAAGCGUAGUCGAUGGGAAACGGGUUAAUAUUCCCGUACUGGUGGUAACUGCGAUGGGGGAACGGAGAAGGCUAGGUUGUCCGGGCGACGGUCGUCCCGGUUCAAGCAGGUAGGCAGAGUGAUUAGGCAAAUCCGGUCACUUAAUGCUGAGAUGUGAUGACGAACCACCAAGGUGGUGAAGCAAUUGAUGCCCCGCUUCCAGGAAAAGCCUCUAAGCUUCAGGUUACCAACAAUCGUACCCCAAACCGACACAGGUGGUCAGGUAGAGAAUACUCAGGCGCUUGAGAGAACUCGGGUGAAGGAACUAGGCAAAAUGGUGCCGUAACUUCGGGAGAAGGCACGCUGGCGGUAGGUAAAGUCCCU
rnacentral:rRNA from 2 species